rnacentral:lncRNA from 10 species
GCUCUUAUGGGUGCCUGCCAGAGGGAAUGCAUGCAGGAAGCUGUUUCCUUCCACCCGCUAUUGCAGCUUAUGGUCAGCCCAACUGUUCAACAUAAUCUGUUCUGCACUAACAUGCUGCGGAUCCUCAGCAGGUUUUUCUCCUGUGCCGACAGCUUCCUUGGGUCUGGAUAGACAGACAACUCAUCACUGGCUGUUCCCGCAGACUGGCUCCGGGCCUGGCCCAAUUGCUUCUCAAGCUCUUGAACCUGAGGAUGGUGUGAAGAUGAAGACAUAGGAAGAUGAAGGGGUUUGCCCAAGGUCAGAGUUGGCAGACCGGUGGCCAAACGUAAACUCAGGUCUCUUGAACCCCAAGGCCAUGCACUAUCAUCUAUUAGCUUCUUGGAGUUUUUCCCCCUUUAUAUUGGCUUCAAGGAUCCCAUGGGAGACACUGAAGAUAAAAGCCACUGUGACCCUCGAAGUCCCUGGGAACAAGGGUGAUAUGCUUGGCAAAUGGUGGAAGUCAUACACCUUCUCACAUGUUUCUCAGUUUGAAGGGACAAAGGGAAAAGAACCACACCUAACUUUUAUACAGUGCUUCCUCCAUGCCAGGCCCUGUGCUGAGCAUUUUACAAGUAUUGACUCAAUUCUCCCAACAAUCCUGUGGGGUAGGCAUCGUUAUUAUCCCCAUUAUACAGAUGAGGAAACUGAGGCACAGAGCUAAAGGAACUUGCUUAAGGUCACACAGCUGGUGAGUGGAGAGCUGGGAUUUGAAUCUGAGCAGUGUGGCUCCAGAGCCCCUGCUGUUAGCUGCUUUUGGUAUGCUCCAAAAUAUUCAGACAAUAAAGAGGGAGACAAGGCUAAAUUUUUAUUGGGUAAUUAAACUUUCAAAAGACUACAAGCAUCUGGACAAAACUGGAAAAAGCUUACAAUUACAACAGUCACGCAAAUCUACAUAAACUAAGAAAAAAAAAAGAUGCCUGGAGUAAAAUAAAUCAAACCAAAGGCGUUGGCAUUUGUUAAGCUCCAGUGCCUGGCAUGUGCUAAGUGUUAUAUAAGAGCUUGUUCAUUAAAUAACAAAUUAAAAUCAGGCUGGUUGGCGAGAAGGUAAAACAACAACCCCGCACGAGUGCACUGUGAGACCUAAAGGCCUUUUUUGGGUACUGUGUGCUUAGGUCUCUAAGGGGGUCAGGGCAGCUCUUUCUGGGGUGUUUUAAAUCCUUUGUUCAGGCCAGGAGAAGUCUGAUGACUCACUCACCUUGCUCUGCAAAACAAGAAUUUGUUGAGCCCGACCCCUCCAGGUCCCUGGCGAAGAUAGGAGCUGCUGAACGUUGAUGUCUUCCCCAACCUCUCUGGCCAAAACCUGAAAUAAGGCAGGGCCUUCAAUGUGGCCAAAAGAGAGGGCUCCACCAGACCCUGAUGCUGCUACGUAUUUAGAAGCAUAUUCAGAAGCAGUCUUCACCUACACGAUCUUCUUCCCAUCUCAGAGCAUAGCCCUCAAAGGUCAGUUUUCCAUGUCCCAAGGGCAGCUCUCCCUGGGAAAGUAGUAAACCCAUCAUCCCUGGCAUUUCUUGGCAAUGCUUAGAGCAGCCAAGAAACUGCCAGCAAUGCCCAGAUAGGGCCCCUUGCUCUUGACAUAUUCUGGGAUGACUGAACCACAAAGCUGACCAACUCCUGCUUCCUUAACCCACUCACCUGUCACCUAGUGCUGAGCUAAUUCUGGCUAUAGGAAGUACAUCACCACAGGACCCUAGCCUUUGUGAAAACCCACGGACAAGUGGACCUCUGAGUGCAGCAAAAGGUGGGCUACUGAAUGUCAGUUGGGGUGCUGUGGUCCAAGAAGGACCCAGCUUUGCGGUUGUUGAAGUGCAGCACUCAGGCCCAACCUCAAGGCUUUGAGGCAGAAACAAUACGCUCCAGCUUGUGACCUGGGCCCCUCUGAAGCCUGUCACAGAAACCCGAUCCAGCGUACCAAGUCUCUGGCACUUGUUUCCACAAUAGAACACUGUUUUGGAAAUCUUGGCCAGUCUGAGUGGUUCCAGCAGGGAAGACAAAUGCCAGAGAAUUCGCUAUGUAAAUAAAAAUAAAUAACGAACCAGCUGGGCCUGUGUCCCAAGUCUGAGCAUUUUCCUUUGAAAGGGUCCUUUAAUACACAAGUAACCUAUUCAUUUUCUGUUACAGAUAGCAGAGAAGAAGGCAGGUGUUGGCAGGCUUUCAAGUUAAGUAAGGGUGACAUUAAGGGGAGACCCAGGAU